rnacentral:siRNA from 1 species
AAAGAUAAAUUUAGGUUCAUAGC